rnacentral:rRNA from 1 species
CAUGCAAGUCGAACGAUGAAGCCCUUCGGGGUGGAUUAGUGGCGAACGGGUGAGUAACACGUGGGCAAUCUGCCCUGCACUCUGGGACAAGCCCUGGAAACGGGGUCUAAUACCGGAUACUGAUCGCCUUGGGCAUCCUUGGUGAUCGAAAGCUCCGGCGGUGCAGGAUGAGCCCGCGGCCUAUCAGCUUGUUGGUGAGGUAAUGGCUCACCAAGGCGACGACGGGUAGCCGGCCUGAGAGGGCGACCGGCCACACUGGGACUGAGACACGGCCCAGACUCCUACGGGAGGCAGCAGUGGGGAAUAUUGCACAAUGGGCGAAAGCCUGAUGCAGCGACGCCGCGUGAGGGAUGACGGCCUUCGGGUUGUAAACCUCUUUCAGCAGGGAAGAAGCGAAAGUGACGGUACCUGCAGAAGAAGCGCCGGCUAACUACGUGCCAGCAGCCGCGGUAAUACGUAGGGCGCGAGCGUUGUCCGGAAUUAUUGGGCGUAAAGAGCUCGUAGGCGGCUUGUCGCGUCGGUUGUGAAAGCCCGGGGCUUAACCCCGGGUCUGCAGUCGAUACGGGCAGGCUAGAGUUCGGUAGGGGAGAUCGGAAUUCCUGGUGUAGCGGUGAAAUGCGCAGAUAUCAGGAGGAACACCGGUGGCGAAGGCGGAUCUCUGGGCCGAUACUGACGCUGAGGAGCGAAAGCGUGGGGAGCG